CUAACAUGACUGCCUCCCUGGAGAGCUGAUUUCAGAAAGGUCUCUGCAGAGGGCUCUAAAGAAAUUCUUUGUUCCUCAAGAUCUUGGCAUUUAGCACUAGGACAGUGAGAAGUGGUAAUUUACUCAAUCCCUGAGGCUAUGUUAUCCUGAACAAGUAAAUAAAGGGCUGAGGAAAGAGGUAGCAUCACUGACAAUAAACAAGCUGCUGAUCGUCAAACAGAGGAAUUUGCCAACAGACAUCUGGGUAGCACAAAGGCCAAGGAAGGACUGAAGGAACAAGGCAGCCCUCAGCUUUUGCAGUUGCCAUAUCCUCCCUUUCGAAGUCACUGCAUCAAACUGUACCGGGCUUACUAGCUGUCUGCAAAUAGACUAGCAAGUUCAGAUGAACUCUCACCCAAGAACCCAGAUGCCAUGUUGUAAGGAAGCCCAGACCACUUGGAGAGGCAUGUAUGAUCCCAGCUGACAGCCAGCAUCAACCUUGAAUAUGUGGGUGAAUGUGCCUUCAAGGGAUUCCAGUCACUAACCUUCAAGCCAU